GAGUUUGAUCAUGGCUCAGAUUGAACGCUGGCGGCAGGUUUAACACAUGCAAGUCGAGCGGGGAAAGGUAGCUUGCUACUGGACCCAGCGGCGGACGNGUGAGUAAUGCUUAGGAAUCUNCCUAUUAGUGGGGGACAACGUUCCGAAAGGAACGCUAAUACCGCAUACGCCCUACGGGGGAAAGCAGGGGAUCUUCGGACCUUGCGCUAAUAGAUGAGCCUAAGACGGAUUAGCUAGUUGGUGGGGUAAAGGCCUACCAAGGCGACNAUCUGUAGCGGGUNUGAGAGGAUGAUCCGCCACACUGGGACUGAGACACGGCCCAGACUCCUACGGGACGCAGCAGAAGGGC
rnacentral:rRNA from 1 species